GAAAGCAGCUUGCUGCUUUGCUGACGAGUGGCGGACGGGUGAGUAAUGUCUGGGAAACUGCCUGAUGGAGGGGGAUAACUACUGGAAACGGUAGCUAAUACCGCAUAACGUCGCAAGACCAAAGAGGGGGACCUUCGGGCCUCUUGCCAUCGGAUGUGCCCAGAUGGGAUUAGCUUGUUGGUGGGGUAACGGCUCACCAAGGCGACGAUCCCUAGCUGGUCUGAGAGGAUGACCAGCCACACUGGAACUGAGACACGGUCCAGACUCCUACGGGAGGCAGCAGUGGGGAAUAUUGCACAAUGGGCGCAAGCCUGAUGCAGCCAUGCCGCGUGUAUGAAGAAGGCCUUCGGGUUGUAAAGUACUUUCAGCGGGGAGGAAGGGAGUAAAGUUAAUACCUUUGCUCAUUGACGUUACCCGCAGAAGAAGCACCGGCUAACUCCGUGCCAGCAGCCGCGGUAAUACGGAGGGUGCAAGCGUUAAUCGGAAUUACUGGGCGUAAAGCGCACGCAGGCGGUUUGUUAAGUCAGAUGUGAAAUCCCCGGGCUCAACCUGGGAACUGCAUCUGAUACUGGCAAGCUUGAGUCUCGUAGAGGGGGGUAGAAUUCCAGGUGU
rnacentral:rRNA from 1 species